rnacentral:rRNA from 1 species
GACGAACGCUGGCGGCGUGCUUAACACAUGCAAGUCGAACGGAAAGGCCCUGCUUUUGUGGGGUGCUCGAGUGGCGAACGGGUGAGUAACACGUGAGUAACCUGCCCUUGACUUUGGGAUAACUUCAGGAAACUGGGGCUAAUACCGGAUAGGAGCUCCUGCUGCAUGGUGGGGGUUGGAAAGUUUCGGCGGUUGGGGAUGGACUCGCGGCUUAUCAGCUUGUUGGUGGGGUAGUGGCUUACCAAGGCUUUGACGGGUAGCCGGCCUGGGAGGGUGACCGGCCACAUGGGGACUAAGAUAGGGCCCAGACUGCUACGGGAGGCAGAAGUGGGGAAUAUUGCACAAUGGGCGGAAGCCUGAUGCAGCAACGCCGCGUGCGGGAUGACGGCCUUCGGGUUGUAAACCGCUUUCGCCUGUGACGAAGCGUGAGUGACGGUAAUGGGUAAAGAAGCACCGGCUAACUACGUG